rnacentral:rRNA from 1 species
UACGUAGGGUGCAAGCGUUGUCCGGAAUUAUUGGGCGUAAAGAGCUCGUAGGCGGUUUGUUGCGUCGGCCGUGAAAACUUGGGGCUUAACCCCGAGCCUGCGGUCGAUACGGGCAGACUUGAGUUCGGCAGGGGAGACUGGAAUUCCUGGUGUAGCGGUGAAAUGCGCAGAUAUCAGGAGGAACACCGGUGGCGAAGGCGGGUCUCUGGGCCGAUACUGACGCUGAGGAGCGAAAGCGUGGGGAGCGAACAGG